GAAUGGAGUGGUGUGUUCAGCUGCUGGUGGCGUGGCCAACAGGAGGAAUCACCAUUGCAUGCAGGGAAUCUCUGUCCAAGGAUCAAGCCUUACAGUUCUACUAUCCCUGUUGGACUCAUGUUAACAAAAGCCCAGUGUUAGCAGGAGUUACCAGAGAGCAGAACGCUUUUAUUUCUGAACUCAACAAUUUAGUGGGAGCACCUGGAACAGACCUAUUCUAAAAAGCAAUGGUUUACAAAGGGGAAGGAAGUGCUGCACGGCUCUGACGGCUGAUCUGACAGCUGCAGGCAGGUGAAGAUGCCACACAAAAAAAUAAAUAAAUAAAAGCUCCAGGAGUUCUUCUUUUAUUUUUUUUAAACACUAUUAUUUAUUUUAUUAUAAAUUUUUUUUUAAAUGAUGACAGGGGGGAGAUGACAAAAGGCCCGAGGCUGGAACCGAACACAAGCUGCUGUGUAAAUAUGAAUUAUAUUCUUCAGUGUUAUUAGCUGUAGGUUGGCUUGUUUUACGUGUUCGUUUGUACUCUCUCCUGCUGAACAGUUUAAUGCCACAUAUUUGUUCUUUUAUUUGUUUCUUUCGCUAUUACGCAGCGUCUGCUAUCGCUGCAGAUGUCUCAGCCGCAAUUGUUGCUCAUCAUAACUUUGUUUUGUUUUCACUUGACGUUGUCACUCGGUCGUACUGUAAUUAUGUCAUUUUUUGUUUUUGUUUUUGUUUGUCAUUACUUUGCCUUUACAUGGUUUGAUCUGAAUAAAACAUAUGUGUAAAAAAAAAAAAAAUGCUCUGUUGGUGUGAAAUUUCUCCAAUUCUGGCUUGUGUGUGUGUGUGUGUGUGUGUGUGUGUGUGGGCGCCUUAAGAGAAACAUUAGUCACGUUCCUUUUUUCUUUUCUGACAUUUGAGACUUAAGUGAAAGUUCAGUACAUGAACUCACCUUCAUCAGGGGCAGUAAGCUAAGAAUUUGUAUUUUAAACUAUUUCACCGCCAUACACAUUUGUUUACUUCAUCUUAAUAAUGUAGUUUACUUCCUACUCCCACUCACUCGUAGUAUGACUUCCACCCCUGCGGUCUCCCCUUUGUCAACAGUUUGCAUUUCCAGGUUGCCGAGCAAGUGGGCGCAUAUUUGACACUUUGCAUGCAACAGCCGUGCACACGGUGGUAUCCUGCAAACAAUUGUCUACUUUUCAACAAAAUGACUCUUAGUGUAGAGAACUGUAGGAGCCCUCUGCUAUUUUACAUGUAUUUACGGAGACGCAAGGACACAUGAAGGUGAUUUUGAGUGAUUGAGAAAAGCGAGCGUGCUUGAUAUUACCGUAAGUGUACAGGAAGAGCACAUGGUGUGGGUGGGGGAUCGCCUCUUUUGGUCCUGUUCACCGGUACGACAGGAGGGAUGACACAGCUUGUUUUUUUUAGUUUUUCACAGUCAUCAUUACUGAAUGCAAAGAUUUUACCUAUUAGUUAUGUUUAAAAUCAAAACGUAGCCUCCAGCUCCUCUAUUAUCUGGUGAAUUCUUUCUCAUAAACCAACUUGGAUGAACAGAAUACUGAUAAAAGACAGUCGAUCCUGCAGUUAAAUGCGGGUGAACGGUGCAGGUGUUUGUUCCCUGGAGCUUAUCAUGUCUAAAAACCAGUGAUAACUUCAUUCCAAAAGGCACGAGUACCUAUUGACGAAAGCACUUUAUUUUCUGCUUUAGUCAUGAUUUAGUCUUUCCAAGUACGACAUGAACGUACAAUCGAUGUAUCUGACGAGGUGAUGGCUGUUACUGUUCGGUGAGUGAUCUGAUAAAACUGCUCAGAGGAGUAAUGGCUCAUAUUUAAUUUGUUAUCUGAGUGCGAUUUCGCCCACAGUUUCCUUCCUUUAUCGAGAAAGUGAAGUGUUGUUGCACCGGGUUAUUGGGUCUGAUCACAUGUAAAGUGUCCCCGCAGGACACAAUCUGCUAAUCUGUUGGAAUAAUCAUGUCUGAAGUCUUAGUAUAUUCCACAAAGCAAGAACAUGUCAGCAGUCUACUGACUAAAUUAUAGAUGAACUUGUGCAGCCACUCAUGAGGGCUGCUGGCGAGCAAAUAUUAAAAACUCCAUUAAAUACAAACAAAUUCCUGAUCCUGUUAUGAUCAAACACAGGUGAAAGCUUUACCACCACACAGUUAAGUUGCCACAGGUCGAUGUUUAGUGGAAACAAACUGUUGAAUGCCACCACACAGUAAUUUACGAGGGAGAGACCUGAGAUUCAGUCACGUCAACUCUUUUGCUGUCAUCCACCUAAAUAAACUAAAUAAAAGGAUAAAAAGCCAGGUCAACAAGGCUGAUUACACUGAAACAGAAAACCAAACAUCUGAGUCAAAGACACGGCACAGUUCUGCACAAAGAACGAGAGCGAUCAUGUUCACAGAAUCUGCCUUCUGUUCAUUUUCUACGAAGCAGCUCCUGAGUCAAAUCAGCAGCACUGUACCAACAGCUGAACAACUUUUAAAUACAGCGUACAUUAAAUGAUUUAAUUGUUGUUUUUGUCACUCUGCUCCUUAUAUAUGACAUCGAAUGUGGCUUAUAGUGCCAAAACUGAAAGGAUGUUGCUUCGUGGAGUUACGGCGGUGA